GCUUACGGCAUACCAGCCUGAAUACGCCCGAUCUCGUCCGAUCUCGGAAGCUAAGCAGGGUCGGGCCUGGUUAGUACUUGGAUGGGAGACCGCCUGGGAAUACCAGGUGCUGUAAGCA
rnacentral:rRNA from 1 species